GAUAUGGCAACCAAAAAGCCAGUGUAAUCCUGGGCUACAUUGAGAAGCAUCCAAUUGAGGUAUAGGGACAUGACAAUCCUGAUAUACCCAGCUCUGAUUAGAACAGCUCCAGGCUAAUGUGUACAAUUCAAGAGCUGCACACCAAUACAGGAAGCCUUUAGGUCCGCGUCUUGUCCAAUUCAAUGAAUAGAUACGGCAAACAUUUAUCAAGCACCAACUACAUACCAGGUACUGAGGAUAGAAAGACAAAUAAAUCCAAAUCCCUGCUCUCAAGCAGCUGGCUUCUUACUAGAGAUGGGGGAGAUACAGCAUAUAUUCAGGUGGCUUGGGGAAAGGGCAGUGGGAAGAACUCCCAGACUGGCGAUGAAGGGCUGGUUUUCAGUCCCAGCAAGGCAGCUUCCUGACUGCUUGAUCUCACAUCGCUCAAGACCCAAUGACAUUGUCUGUAAACUGGAGAUAACAAUUCUUGGACUCCACCAAUGUCUUCCUCUGAGCCUCACUGUGGUUGGGGGCUUCCCACUCAUUCAUUCACUUAAAAACACUGGAUUUGUUCAAGGUAAUCAUUCCAUGAGUCUCUUCUGUGUGCCAGAAAGGAGGCAAAAUGUUGUGUCUGGUGACUAUCCAGUAAGCCAGUUUGACUCUUCCAUAGUGUUCAUUAGGAGAUGUAAUAUGAAUCAGUAUGGAAAAUUUGUGUGGGGGCCUGAUUUUGAAGGGCUCUAAAUAUUAAACAGGUGCGUUUAUGUUAGACUCUAGAAGCAUCAAGGAGCCAUUGAAGCUUUUUGAGCAGGGGAGUAGAGCCCUGGAGGCAAACUCUAUCUGCUAUCUGAGGACUGGCUUAUUUAAGUAUGGACAGCAUCAUCUUUUGUAGACUGGCCCCAAAGUCACCGUUCCUCUGGCUAUUACAGCCCAGGAAAGAAAGGAUUUCAAAUGCUCUUCAGUCCCAUCUAGGCUCCUCUAUUUCUUGAGCGACAGAGGCACAAAGGGGAGUAGAGGAGGUAACAGAUCUCACUGUUUUAAGGCUGUCCAUACUCAUUAAUCUAAUUGCUGAUAUUCUCAAUAUGGAAGCUUUGUCCAAAGGGCACAGAGGGAGCAUCAUACAACUGGGGUCAGGAGGACACUUCACCUCCCUGGUCAUGAUAUUUGUGACAAUCGGAAACUCAACAAGCAUUUAUUAAGUGUUAACUACUGACCAGAGCUGAGGAUAUAAAGAAAAGGAAAAAGUCCCCCCCAACCCCCCCCAAGUGAUGUUCACCAGAAGACAGACACAUUAGAAAGCUGAAACUUGAUGAAAGGGCAGCUCACAGGACUAGAAAGGAUUUGGCAGAGUUUGCUCUACCCAAGACCACUGGAAACCUGGACUCAAGGGACAGCUCAUUACCUCCUUCAGGUCCCAGGGUGCUAGAUGGGCAGACACCAGGAGACCACCUGAAGACAAGUGCUACUAAGGUAGCUUCACCCACAUUUCUUGCUGAAGGACUAGAGGAAUUCUAGAAAGAACUUGAUUUGAACCUCCAAAGAAAGUCAAUCUACUUAUUCCUUGAUUUCUCUUCAGCUCCUUUGAUGUGAAGGCGGUCACUGGAGAGGAUGGCAAAAAUAGGAGAUGGAGGCUAGAUCUAUGAUGACCUUGGUGUGGGGGGAACUCCUGGAAGAAGUCUAGGGCCCUGAGGGAUGUGCCCAGGAUAUGCCACCUAUCCUAACCUUUUCCUCUUUGAGCUCUCUAUCUGCUGUGCCUCCUAACUCUCAGAGAUUGGGAUUAAAAAAUGGGAAGAGUCUGAGGCUUAAAGAUUGAGUUUUGAUUUUUUUUUUAAGUGAGAGAGCACAAAAGCCAUGGGCAUGAAGUAAACUGCUCCAUAUUUUAAAAGUGGGUUAUAUCUUUUAAAAAGAGAAACAACAUGACUUAGUAGGGAUGUGGCCUCUGAGCCAGGAAGUCCUGGGUUCAAGACCUGAUUGGACUGCAUGACCUUAGGCAUAUCACUUAACCUCAGCAUGCUCUAAACAACUCUCCAAGCAUUCAAGUUGCUGAGGAGGUGCCUACUUACUAUGGCGGAGGGAGUUUUACAGGACAGAAGUGGGAAUGACAUAUAAGAAAAUGAAGUAGGGGAAAACCAUUGGGGCCACAUAUGAAUAUGUGUGGGUAAAAUCUGUGCCAGAGGGGACACAAUUUAGGAAGCACCGAGGCUUUCUAACUUUCUCUUCCCCAGUUCAAUAGUAAGCUCCUUGAGGGCAGGGACUGUAUUUUGUCUCUUUUGGUACCAUCACUUAGCAUAGUAACUGACAUACAGUAGAAGCUUAAUAAAUGCUUAAUUUCAAGAUACUUAAAAGAAGGG
rnacentral:lncRNA from 1 species